rnacentral:lncRNA from 1 species
UCAGGUACUUGCACUGGGACUACUAAAAGAAACAACUUUACCCAUGGAGAAUGCAGAAAAGCAAGGCAGGAUGGUGGCCCACCCUGGAAGGACAUGGAGCCAAGGGAGCCUCCCCCAUCCAGGGAGGUGCUCCAAAGUCUGUUGCCUGGUGACUGGACAGAAGCUGGAAUGUCCUGGCAGAUCUAUUGUGGCAAGAAUGUGCAAAUCCCCUCUACAUGGCAUUUUGCACAAGAUUUGAUGAGAAAAUAUGGGGAAUUGCUCACUGGGGAUGCUAUGUUUUGUUUGUCUGUUCCAUGCAAGCUCCAUUUAGAGGCCUUUAAGAACUCUAAGACUAGGGUCCAAAGCAAAUAAUUAUAGCACUAAACAAUCCACCCCUCAAAACAUAUAUUUUCCUCUAAUGUUUUUGUUUAUUUAUGAUGUUUCACAUAAGAUGAUCACAUCACAUCAAUUAUGAUGAAAACCUUUGAUUGGGGGGCUUUGGAGGAAUUCCUC